UACGUAGGGGGCAAGCGUUGUCCGGAUUUAUUGGGCGUAAAGAGCGUGUAGGCGGCCAGACAGGUCCGUUGUGAAAACUCGAGGCUCAACCUCGAGACGCCGAUGGAAACCGUCUGGCUAGAGUCCGGAAGAGGAGAGUGGAAUUCCUGGUGUAGCGGUGAAAUGCGCAGAUAUCAGGAAGAACACCCGUGGCUAAGGCGGUUCUCUAGUACGGUACUGACGCUGAGACGCGAAAGCGUGGGGAGCGAACAGG
rnacentral:rRNA from 1 species